AAGUCGUAACAAGGUCUCCGUUGGUGAACCAGCGGAGGGAUCAUUACCGAGUUUACAACUCCCAAACCCACUGUGAACAUAUACCCCAAAACGUUGCCUCGGCGGUCGCUCCGGCGGCCGCCGGGGGUCCCGAACCCUCUGUUUUCUCGCCGCGUCAGCGGCACCGUCUGAGUGGAUCAUAGUAUCAAAUGAAUCAAAACUUUCAACAACGGAUCUCUUGGUUCUG
rnacentral:misc_RNA from 1 species